UCCGUGUUAACCACGGCAGUCUCCUUAGAGAGCCCAACUUAAUGCUGGCAACUAAGGACAAGGGUUGCGCUCGUUGCGGGACUUAACCCAACAGGUCACCCCACGAGCUGACGACAGCCAUGCAGCACCUGUCUUCCUGCUGUAUUGCUACAGAAACUGUAUUUCUACAGCUGUCAGGAGAUGUCAAACCUAGGUAAGGUUCUUCGCGUUGCUUCGAAUUAAACCACAUGAUCCACCGCUUGUGCGGGCCCCCGUCAAUUCCUUUGAGUUUUAGUCUUGCGACCGUACUCCCCAGGCGCGGUACUUAUCGCGUUAGCUCCGGCUCAGCAGGGGUCAAUACCCACUUAACCUAGUACCGAUCGUUUACAGCGUGGACUAC
rnacentral:misc_RNA from 1 species